GAGGGUAUAGCUCAAAUGGUAAAGCACAUGCCUAGCAUGCACAAGAUCCUGGGUUCAAUCCCCAUUACCUCUU
rnacentral:tRNA from 1 species